UGGGGAAUAUUGCGCAAUGGGCGAAAGCCUGACGCAGCAACGCCGCGUGAGGGAUGAAGUACGUCGGGAUGUAAACCUCUUUCAGUGGGGACGAAGCGAAAGUGACGGUACCCGCAAAAGAAGCACCGGCUAACUACGUGCCAGCAGCCGCGGUAAUACGUAGGGUGCAAGCGUUGUCCGGAUUUAUUGGGCGUAAAGGGCUCGUAGGCGGUCUGUCGCGUCGGAUGUGAAAACUCAGAGCUUAACUCUGGGCCUGCAUUCGAUACGGGCAGACUAGAGUUCGGUAGGGGAGACUGGAACUCCUGGUGUAGCGGUGGAAUGCGCAGAUAUCAGGAAGAACACCAGUGGCGAAGGCGGUCUGCUGGGCCGUUGCUGACGCUGAGGCGCGACAGCGUGGGGAGCAAACAGGAUUAGAUACCCUGGUAGUCCACGCCGUAAACGAUGGGCACUAGGCGUCGGGGGGAGCGACCCUCUCGGUGCCGUCGCUAACGCAAUAAGUGCCCCGCCUGGGGAGUACGGCCGCAAGGCUG
rnacentral:rRNA from 1 species